rnacentral:rRNA from 1 species
GACGAACGCUGGCGGCGUGCUUAACACAUGCAAGUCGAACGGAAAGGCCCUGCUUUUGUGGGGUGCUCGAGUGGCGAACGGGUGAGUAACACGUGAGUAACCUGCCCUUGACUUUGGGAUAACUUCAGGAAACUGGGGCUAAUACCGGAUAGGAGCUCCUGCUGCAUGGUGGGGGUUGGAAAGUUUCGGCGGUUGGGGAUGGACGCGCGGCUUAUCAGCUUGUUGGUGGGGGAGUGGCUUACCAAGGCUUUGACGGGUAGCCGGCCUGAGAGGGUGACCGGCCACAUUGGGACUGAGAUACGGCCCAGACUCCUACGGGAGGCAGCAGUGGGGAAUAUUGCACAAUGGGCGGAAGCCUGAUGCAGCAACGCCGCGUGCGGGAUGACGGCCUUCGGGUUGUAAACCGCUUUCGCCUGUGACGAAGCGUGAGUGACGGUAAUGGGUAAAGAAGCACCGGCUAACUACGUG